rnacentral:ncRNA from 2 species
UACGAAGGGGGCUAGCGUUGUUCGGAUUUACUGGGCGUAAAGCGCACGUAGGCGGAACGUUAAGUCAGAGGUGAAAUCCUGGAGCUCAACUCCAGAACUGCCUUUGAUACUGGCGAUCUAGAGUCCGGAAGAGGUGAGUGGAACUCCUAGUGUAGAGGUGGAAUUCGUAGAUAUUAGGAAGAACACCAGUGGCGAAGGCGGCUCACUGGUCCGGUACUGACGCUGAGGUGCGAAAGCGUGGGGAGCAAACAGG